AUGAGGCUAUUGACAUGAAAUUUUCACAAGACUUUGGUAUUAACUCAAGAAAUCCACACAUGUAAAGAAUUCUAAACAUUAAAGUCCAUAAAUGAAGUUGUGUGUAAUAAAAUGGAAUGACACAUGACACGUGUAUUGAACACGAUAACUGAAAUGUAUUUAAUACUUAGUGGAGAAGCCUUUUGUUUGUAAUGACAGCUUCAAGACGCUUCCUGUACGAAGAAAUUAAUCGGCCGCAGUAUUCAGCAAUUGAGAGUUUCCUUUGCUGUAUUCUUUGGAUCGUUGUCCUGCUGGAAGUCCACCCACAUCUCAUCUUCUUCAUCCUGGUGGAUGGCAGCAGAUUCUUCUCAAGAAUCUCCCGGCAAAGGGCUCCGUUCAUCGUUCCUUCAGUUAGAUGAAGUCUGCCAGUACCAUGUGAUGAAAAACAGCCCCACGCUAUGAUGCUUCCACCUCCAAACUUCACUGUUGGUAUAGUGUUUAUAGGGUGAUGACAGUACCAUUUCUUCUCCAAACAUGGAAUGUAGUAUGAUAGGCAGAAAGUUCAAUUUUGCUCUCGUUUGACCAGACUACACUCUCCCAGACUUCAUAGGCUUGUCCAAAUGAGUUGUAGCAAACUUUAAACGAGCUUCAACAUGCCUUUUCUUUAGUAAUGGAGGCUUGUGGGGUGAGCAUGAGCAUUGGAGUGCAUUGCCUAUUGUUUUCUCUGUGAUGAUGGCACCUGCUGCCUCCAAGUGUUUCUGGAGCUCUUUCCGAAUGGUCCUUGGAUCUUGGGCUACUCUCCUGACUCCCUGGUCAGAAAUCUUCCGAGGAGCUCCUGUGCCUGGCCAGUUAAUGUUGCUUCCACCUAGGGAUAAUGGCCCCAAUGGUGCUUACUGGAAGAUUCAGAAGUUUUGAAAUACGUCUGUAUCCGAUUCCAUUGAUAUGUUUCACAACAAUAAGGUUGCAAAGGUCUUGGGAGAGCUCUUUGCUUUUAACAAUCAUGAGAUCAUUUCUUGUGUGACACCUUGGUAACGAAAAGCCUUUUUAUAGACCAUCAAUUUACUAACCCAGCUGAUAGUAAUUUGCAGAGAUAGGGGGUAUAAUUACUUUAUAAUUACUUAUGGAUUUCAGCUGGUUCCUUGCCUUACCUUGCCUUGGAGAACUGUUUUUC
ensembl:lncRNA